rnacentral:rRNA from 1 species
AGAGUUUGAUCCUGGCUCAGAUUGAACGCUGGCGGCAUGCCUAACACAUGCAAGUCGAACGGCAGCAUGAGUAGGGGUAACCUUACUUGAUGGCGAGUGGCGGACGGGUGAGUAAUAUGUAGGAAUCUGCCUAGAGGAAGGGGAUAACUUGGGGAAACCCAAGCUAAUACCAUAUAAUCCCUACGGGGGAAAGCAGGGGCUCGCAAGACCUUGCGCCUUAUGAUGAGCCUACAUCGGAUUAGCUAGUUGGUGGGGUAAAGGCCUACCAAGGCGACGAUCCGUAGCUGGUCUGAGAGGAUGACCAGCCACACUGGGACUGAGACACGGCCCAGACUCCUACGGGAGGCAGCAGUGGGGAAUAUUGGACAAUGGGCGCAAGCCUGAUCCAGCAAUGCCGCGUGUGUGAAGAAGGCCUUAGGGUUGUAAAGCACUUUCAGUGGGGAGGAAGGGUUUAAUGCUAAUACCAUUAAACAUUGACGUUACCCACAGAAGAAGCACCGGCUAACCCUGUGCCAGCAGCCGCGGUAAUACAGAGGGUGCGAGCGUUAAUCGGAAUUACUGGGCGUAAGGCGUGUGUAGGUGGUUAGAUAAGUUAGAUGUGAAAUCCCCGGGCUUAACCUGGGCACUGCGUUUAAGACUGUUUAGCUAGAGUACUGUAGAGGAUAGUGGAAUUUCCAGUGUAGCGGUGAAAUGCGUAGAUAUUGGAAGGAACACCAGUGGCGAAGGCGACUAUCUGGACAGAUACUGACACUGAGACACGAAAGCGUGGGGAGCAAACAGGAUUAGAUACCCUAGUAGUCC